UCCUCUAUGUGAGACAAGCAGGAUGGGCUGUUCCACGAGUACCCAGACAACAGCGCAGGACACCACCAGACAGCCCAGCUCUAAACCAGAGGAAAGCAAUGGAACCAGCACUACAGGGGCGGCUAAUGAGAACGGUAAGGUUGCGGAGGACAGUGAGACCAUCCCAGAUCACACAGUGACCGUAGCAGCCACAGGAGGGGAGGCCCAGUCUGCUCCGGCUGCAGCCCAAGCCGAGGCUCCUGCAGACACCACAGACCCAGCCCCUGCAGCGGAGACCCCGGCCCAGAGUGAGACCCAGCCUGCAGCCGAUGCUCCUGCAGCAGCCACUUCCCCCGAGCAGCCAGCCAGCUCUCCAGAGCCUCCCCCUGCAGCCCAGGACCCAGGUGCGUACUGUAGGCACAGACAGACAGUCAGAGGCUGUGUUUACACAGGCAGCCCAAUUGUCAUAUUUUUCCACUAAUUGGUAUUUUGAUCAACCUGAUCAGCUCUUUUGCCAAUAAUUGGGCAAAAUAUCAGAAUUGGACUGCUUCUGUAAACGCAGCCAAAGUGGCCUGUUCAAAACCAACAUGAUCAUGUUCCUCUAUCUCCAAUGCAAAUCACACCUUUCUGCUGGCCUCAUAUCUGCUCACGGCACACAGGAGGCCUGUUUCAGGAUGGACAUGGAUCAGUUGUGAAUGCGUGACAGUUUUGAUAAGGAUGUAAUACCUGUUUGUUCAAGCAGCUGUAAAAACACAUUAGGAUAGUUUCACCAGACACAGAUAAAGCCUAGUCCUUUACAACAAAAAAACACAUGAUCUCAGUUGAAAUAGCUUUUUAGUCAGAGACUUUAGGCUUUAACCUGUCUGACUGGAAAUACGUCCCUUACAGUAUUAAUCCAACAACAAGGUGUAAUGACCCUCUCUAUUGUCCCAUUGACAAGACCAAGUACACAAUGUUAAUGUACUGCCAAUGAUCAACAGUAACCUGAUAAGUGUUCCACUUAGCCUACUGUAAUCCUCAGUGACCCCCUGAACACAGCUAGCUAGGAGCCCAGGUGAAUAUUCAUCUAUGUAGACUUUCCCCUGUUCGGCUGUCUCAUUACCCUGACUGUUACCAGGGUUAUGGAUAGGUCUGUUACCAGGGUUAUGGAUAGGUCUGUUACCAGGGGUAUGGAUAGGUCUGUUACCAGGGUUAUGGAUAGGUCUGUUACCAGGGUUGGGGAUAGGUCUGUUACCAGGGUUAAGGAAUAGGUCUUUAGGGACGGCAGGGUAGCCUAGUGGUUAGAGCGUUGGACUAGUAACCAGAAGGUUGCAACCCCGAGCUGACAAAUCUGUCGUUCUGCCCCCUGAACAAGGCAGUUAACCCACUGUUCCUAGGCCGUCAUUGAAAAUAAGAAUUUGUUCUUAACUGACUUGCCUAGUUAAAUAAAGGUAAAAAAUAAAAUAAAAUAUGUCUGUCACCUGGAUGUUCCAUGGUGAUGGAAGUCAUUACUAACAUGAUCCCUCACUGACCCUGGAUGUUCCAUGGUGAUGGAAGUCAUUACUAACAUGAUCCCUCACUGACCCUAGAGGUUCCAUGGUGAUGGAGGUCAUUACUAACAUGAUCCCUCACUGACCCUGGAUGGUGAUGGAAGUCAUUACUAAUCUUGUCAAUUUACUUAGUGAGUCCCAAUGCAAAUGACUGACAAGUCACAUGUACUGCGCAUUUCGAUAGUGUAUUUGUCUAAUGCAAAGUACCAAUAAUAUGACCGAUAAAGGAAAAGUUGGAUAGAACCAGUGGGUCUGUAUAUAGUUGAAUAGAACCAGUGGGCCAGUAUAUAGUUGAAUAGAACCAGUGGGUCUGUAUAUAGUUGAAUAGAACCAGUGGGCCAGUAUAUAGUUGAAUAGAACCAGUGGGCCAGUAUAUAGUUGAAUAGAACCAGUGGGCCAGCAGACCUUAUAGAGUUGAAUAGAACUCGUGGUUUUUCUUUAUUUUGACUAUUUUCUACAUUGUAGAAUAAUAGUGAAGACAUCAAAACUAUUAAAUAACACAUAUGGAAUCAUGUAGUAACCAAAAAGGUGUUAAACAAAUCAAAAUAUAUUUUAUAUUUGAGAUUCUUCAAAGUAGCCACCCUAUGCCUUGAUGACAGCAUUUCACACUCUUGGCAUUCUCUCAACCAGCUUCACCUGGAAUGUUUUUCCAACAGUCUUGAAAGUGUUCCCACAUAUGCUGAGCACUUGUUGGCUGCUUUCUUUCACUCUGCAGUCCAACCCAUCCCAAACCAUCUCAAUUGGAAAUAAAAUCCACAAAUUAACUUUUAUCAAAGCACACCCGUUAAUUGAAAUGCAUUCCAGGUGACUACCUCGUGAAGUUUGUUUAUCCCAUGUGUAACUCUUUAUCCCAUGUGUUGUUUUUGUCGCACUGCUUUGCUUUAUCUUGGCCAGGUCGCAAUUGUAAAUGAGAACUUGUUCUCAACUGGCCUACCUGGUUAAAUAAGGUGAAAUUUAAAAAAAAAGCUGGUUGAGAAAAUGCCAAGAGUGUGCAAAGCUGUCAUCAAGGCAAAGGGUGGCUACUUUGAAGAAUCUCAAAUAUAAAAUAUGUUUUGAUUUGUUUAACACCUUUUUGGUUGCUACAUGUUUCCAUAUGUGUUAUUUCAUAGUUUUGAUGUCUUCACUGUUAUUCUACAAUGUAGAAAAUAGUACAAAUAAAGAAAAACCCUUGAAUCAGUAGGUCAAUCAAUCAAAUGUAUUUAUAUAGCCCUUCGUACAUCAGCUGAUAUCUCAAAGUGCUGUACAGAAACCCAGCCUAAAACCCCAAACAGCAAGCAAUGCAGGUGAAGAAGCACGGUGGCUAGGAAAAACUCCCUAGAAAGGCCAAAACCUAGGAAGAAACCUAGAGAGGAACCAGGCUAUGUGGGGUGGCCAGUCCUCUUCUGGCUGUGCCGGGUGGAGAUUAUAACAAAACAUGGUCAAGAUGUUCAAAUGUUCAUAAAUGACCAGCAUGGUCGAAUAAUAAUAAGGCAGAAUAGUUGAAACUGGAGCAGCAACACAGUCAGGUGGACUGGGGAC
rnacentral:lncRNA from 13 species